GACGAACGCUGGCGGCGUGCCUAAUACAUGCAAGUAGAACGCAGUUGCGAACGGGUGAGUAACGCGUAGGUAACUGCCUCAUAGCGUGGGAUAACUAUUGGAAACGAUAUCUACUACCGCAUACUUUGAGAUGGACCUGCGUUGUAUUAGCUAGUUGGUGAGGUAAAGGCUCACCAAGGCGACGAUACAUAGCCGACCUGAGAGGGUGAUAGGCCAAACUGGGAACGGGACACGGCCCAGAAUCCUACGGGAGGCAGCAGUAGGGAAUCGUCGGAAAUGGACUGAAGUCUGACCGAGCAAAGGCGCGUGAGUGAAGAAGGGUUUCGGAACGUAAAGCUCUGUUGUUAGAGAAGCGUUAACUAACCAGAAAGGGACGGCUAACUACGUGCCAGCAGCCGCGGUAAUAC
rnacentral:rRNA from 1 species